GGCGAGAUGGCCGAGUGGUCUAAGGCGCUAGUUUCAGGAGAGGUUCUUCGGGACCAUCAUCCACACUACUAGUCAGAAAUGGCAAGGGUUCGAAUCCCUUUCUCGUCA